CAUUGUAUUUUUAGGAUUGAAAAUGGAUAAAAUAAAUGAGUGUGUUAAACCAGCAAAAGACAAGUGGAAAAUUGUUUUUUUUAUAUUUUUACUUCAUGGACUUGGAACUCUUAUGCCCUGGAAUAUGUUUAUAACAGCAAAAAGUUACUUCGUUGACUUCAAACUGGUUUCAAAUGAUGGAAAUGUGACCUCUGUUUACGCCAACAACUUUAUGCAGUACAUGGGAUUUGCUUCCCAGAUACCAAAUUUGAUAUUUAACUGGUUAAACAUUUUUGUCCAUUUGGGUGGUGACCUUACCAAACGGAUAGUGUACAGUAUAUUGUUUGAGUUGGCAAUUUUUAUUAUCACAGUUAUACUUGCCAUUUUGGAUUCCUCUAACUGGCAGAACGUCUUUUUCUGGAUCACAAUGAUAAGUGUUGUUUUAUUAAACAUGGCAAAUGGCAUAUAUCAAAACAGUAUAUAUGGUAUGGUUGCAACUCUACCCAUAAAAUAUACUGGAGCUGUUGUGCUAGGUUCUAAUAUUAGUGGUCUUUUUGCUGCAAUAGUAGAUAUUUGUAGUACUUACAUAUUUUCCUCGUACAGAACAUCUGCUAUAUACUACUUUAUUACAGCAAUGCUUAUAUUACUUAUUUGUUUUGAUACCUAUUUCGCACUACCAUUAAACAGAUUUUAUAGAUAUCACGAAUUAAGAAGACUUAAAGAAGAAAAACCAUUGUGCAAUUCGGAUGUAACCAGAGUGCCUUAUUUCAAAAUUUUUAAAGAGGCGUUCCCACAACUUUUUAAUAUAUUUUUUACUUUUUUUGUGACAUUAGCUGUAUUUCCUGCUGUUCAUUCUGUUAAUUUUUUCAGAUAUCAAACCCUAUUCCGACGAUUUUUUCAUUUCAAAGGAACGUUUUACAUCCAUUACCUGUUUCUUAACAUUCAAUUUAUUUGCUAUGUUAGGAAGUUUAAUGACAUCUUGGUAUCAAUGGCCCAAAGCAAAUUUGUUAUGUAUACCUGUCAUACUGCGUGCUGUGUUUCUACCUUUGUUUUUGUUCUGCAAUUAUAUACCGAAAAGUACAAUAAGAUCGCUUCCCGUGAUUAUUACUAACGACUGGGCUUACUGGCUAAUAGCUAUCAUUAUGUCCUUCAGCUCUGGAUAUUUAAGCUCUUUGGGAAUGAUGUAUGCUCCACAGAUGGUAUUACCAAAAUAUCAAAUUACAGCAGGGAUGUUUGCUGCUGCUAUGUUAAUAACGGGUAUUUUUUCAGGAAUUCUAUUUUCUUUUAUUUUACCUUCUUUGGUUGCUAUUUAAUCAUUUUAUUUAGAAUUAGUAAUAUAAAUAAAUUCGCAAC